UACGUAGGGGGCUAGCGUUGUCCGGAUUCAUUGGGCGUAAAGAGCGUGUAGGCGGCCAGGUAGGUCGGUUGUGAAAACUGGAGGCUCAACCUUCAGACGUCGACCGAAACCAUCUGGCUAGAGUCCGGGAGAGGAGAGUGGAAUUCCUGGUGUAGCGGUGAAAUGCGCAGAUAUCAGGAAGAACACCCGUGGCGAAAGCGGCUCUCUGGAACGGUACUGACGCUGAGACGCGAAAGCGUGGGGAGCGAACAGG
rnacentral:rRNA from 1 species